AAGGGUGAGGUCUUGGGUUUGAG
rnacentral:siRNA from 1 species